rnacentral:rRNA from 1 species
UAGGGAAUCUUGCACAAUGGGCGAAAGCCUGAUGCAGCGACGCCGCGUGCGGGAUGAAGGCCUUCGGGUUGUAAACCGCUUUCAGCAGGGACGAGGCCGCAAGGUGACGGUACCUGCAGAAGAAGCCCCGGCUAACUACGUGCCAGCAGCCGCGGUAAUACGUAGGGGGCAAGCGUUAUCCGGAUUCAUUGGGCGUAAAGCGCGCGUAGGCGGUUUGUUAGGUCAGGAGUUAAAUCUGGGGGCUCAACCCCUAUCCGCUCCUGAUACCGGCAGGCUUGAGUCUGGUAGGGGAAGGCGGAAUUCCAAGUGUAGCGGUGAAAUGCGCAGAUAUUUGGAAGAACACCGGUGGCGAAGGCGGCCUUCUGGGCCACGACUGACGCUGAGGCGCGAAAGCUAGGGGAGCGAACAGG